UGGACGGACUCAUGGACAGACCCAGCUCCUCCCCCACCCCACCACGGGCAGCAGAUACUGCACCGAGCAAGGCCUCCUGCUGACCCACUCCUUGCCAGGGCGGCUGGGGCUGGGUAGGGGCAGCAGCGUGCCGGCUGGCUGAGGCUCAGAACAAGUC